CCCGCCGGCCGGGCUUGACGUCAGGCUGGCAGGGCCUGGAACGGCCCUGCGUCGCGGCCCCCUGGGGGCAAGACGACACCGCUGGGGGCCGAGGGCAGGGCACGCCUUCGGAAUCCGGCUUCGAAGCCGGCCGCCUGACCUGGGGCAAGUGCUUUCAACUCUCUGAACUUCGGUUUCCUCAUCUGCCAGUUGGCAGACGCUCAGCAAAUCUUCCUAGACUCACGGGGCGAAUUGUACAGUUGGGUAAAUCGAGGCCCAGAGAUGGCAAAAGGACCGUCCAAGGUCGUACAGCCACCCGGAAUUACAAUUCCUUUCUGCCGGGUCACACGCUGUCUGUCAUCCACGUGUUACCUAAGAGAGCUUCCAGCCUGUGCUAAGAAAACUGCCCCACAUCAUCUGCAGUAGGACGGGGGAGUUGGAGCCCUGGUCAGGCCACUCUGCUACUGACCACAGUUUUCUCAUCUCUAAAAAGGCGCAGUAACAAUAUAAUUACCGUAUGCAGCCCCCCAGGAUACAGGGUCAAAGGAGAGCACAACCAUCUCAGUUGGAAGCCCAUGGGGCAGGGCCCAGGACACAGUGAGCAUACAAUAGACAUUAGCUGCUGUGGUGUCUUGAUUUCAAGCCCAGUGCAGUUGCAUCUGACUUACGAAACUUCAGUGACACCUGCUCUGUGCCAGACACUGAAGAUGGAGCAGUGAACAGCACUGACCCAGCCUGUCCUCCUGUUGCCUGCAGGCCAGAAGCAAGGUCUCGCUGUGUUACCCGGGCUGGAGUGCAGUGGCUACUUACAGGCAUGAUCAUAGCAUACUGCAGCCUCGAACUCCUGGACUAAAGCAGUUCUCCUGCCUCAGCCUCCAGAGCAGCUGGGACUGCAGACACGCACCACAGAGCCCAGCCUGAGUCAUUUUGAUUCUGUAACUGGCUUCCUCUCGGCGGGCAGGCUCACACCCUCCACCCCCAGCUGGAGAUGGAAGGAGGAUGCUCACCAUCCAUUCCUCAUGCAGGCCAUCGAUGGAAAUGUCAGACAGUGCGAGUCCAUGCCUGAACACUUCUGGGGUCCGCUCUGGGACUGACACUGGCAGAUCCAUCGGUAAGCUCCCGCCUGCCACCUCUGGGCCUGCAUUGCGGUGAUAGGGCCAAGGGCCUGGGCCUUCAAUUCUCCAGACUUGCCAAAAUGCUCAGCGCAGGCCUCGUCGGCAACUGCAGACAAGCAGAGGCAGCACCUGGGCUCUGCCUGUGCCUGGCACAGUGAAGCGAGGGUGGGGGCAGGAAUGAGGGUCCUCUCCAUGCAAGGGGGGAAGAUAGAAGAACAAAAUUUCACCCUAAUGUAGUGUCUUUAGACCGUGCAAUGUUGUGCUCCUGUUAGUCUGAUAUCAGGGGCUUGCAGCCUGGCAAAGGAAAAAAAACAGGCUGAGGCACGUGAUAGAAGACAGGCAGGGAUGCCACAAUCAUAACCAUGGCAAAGACCAGGAUCAGAAAGGCCCACCAUCUCUGACCCCAAAUCCCUGGGCAGAUGGUUCCGGAACUCAGAAUUUUCCCAGUUGUAGAAAGAUGGGGCCAGGUGCAGUGGCUCAUGCCUGUAAUCCCAGCAUUUUGGGAGUACGAGGUGGGCGGAUCACCUGAGGUCAGGAGUUCGAGACCAGCCUGGCCAACAUGGUGAAACCCUGUCUCUACUAAAAAAAAAAAAAAAAAAAAAAAAAAAAAAAAAAAAAUUAGCCGGGCGUGGCGAUGCAUGCCUGUAAUCCCAGCUACUCGGGAGGCUGAGCCAGGAGAAUUGCUUGAACCCGGGAGGUGGAGGUUGCAGUGAGCCAAGAUCGCGCCACUACACUCCAGUCCGGGCGACAGAGCAAGAGUCCAUCCCCCACCACCAAAAAAAAAAAAAAGAAAGAAAGAUGAUGUGAUACAUAUCACAUAUUUCCUAACACCCCCAACCAAACACAUUUAUGCAUAUGCCGCAAAGCAGACGAGGAAAGAUUCUAAAUAGGCUCUGAAUCUCAGUUUUCUCAUCUCUACAAUGGGGCAGUGAUGGCAUGCACCUCCCAGGGCUGUUCUGAGAAUCUGAUGCCUCCCAUUGCACUGGUGAGCCUGGCACAGGCACAGGUCCCACCCCAGGCCCUUUGAACUGGCUGUUCCUUUGGCCUGGAACAUUCCUCCCCAGAUACCUCCUGAGAGGGCUCCCUCACUUCCUUCAAGGCACUGCUCAAAUGCUACCUGUUCACAGAGGCUUUCCCUGACCACCCCGUCCCUUUCCUCUUCCUGCAUAGCCUCUGUCACCUGACAUUUUAUGUCAUAAAUUACUCAUUUAUUAAUUUCCUGCUCUCCCACAGUGGCACCCGAGCUCUGUGAGGGCAAGACUUUGUUUGGUUGUGGGCUAUGCCCCCAACCCCUCGGACAGUGCCUGCACAGGUGGACAUUUUUGUUGGAUGAAGGAUUUUCUGUUAAAUGUGUCUGGCACACACAGAAAAACAAAGCCCAGCAGGUACGAUGGUGAUUAUUAUUGUUACUGGUGGUGCUCUAUUAUUGUUAUUAGUGUCUGUUGAAAAAGACCCUGAGCUAUACCAGCCCUUGGUUCUCCAGCCUGUGAAAUGGGCAUCCUGGGCACUGAGGCACUAGCCUUGGGAAGCUGAUAGGGGGUCCCUGCAGGAGAGACAAAGAACACUGCCCACCCCCCCGGGGAGCCUGCGCCCCUCACCGGAAAGAGAAGCAGGGGGGAGCAGAGGGAGCUUGCAGCCCCACACGCAGGGCUGCCAGAAGGCCAUACAUAAUUCAUUGCCAAAUGGGGCUGCGGGCGGCUCUCCGCGGCGUGCGCUGGGGGCUCACUCUGCGCCUGGCACUUCGCUGACUGCGCCUCACACGUUGCCUCAUUGCAUCUUCAUGGAUUUGCAGGGUGUGACCCUUCCCCCUGUUUUACCCAGGGGGAUCCUGAGGCUCAGAGGAUGGGGCCACCGUGCUAGUCACAGGCUCUCUGUGGCCAAGCUGGGCCUCGGGUCAGCAGAUUUGGCCCCCAGCGGCCCCCAUUCACUGCCUCUCUGCUGAGGGAAAAGACGGGCCUGGGGAGCGGGUGGGAGGCACAAAGGAGACCCCGCUCUGAGACAGGCUGCAGAAGAGGGAGCUGGGUCUCAGCAGGGCUGGGGAAGGCUCUGGCCCCAGCCCUCCGCCCAACCCCCUGCCCUCCUCUCCUGGAGGAGAUGCUCCCCAAAUUAGCCAUCAUGAGCACUGGCUCUGGGGGUUGGGCGCUGGGGAGCAGUUUGCUCAGCUGUAAAAUGGGAAUAACAGAAGCCGUCCCUGGGACUAUGAGAUCAAGGUGCUCAAGAAAAGUGGUGUCUGCUGAGGGGAAAAGCCAGUCCCAAAAGGUUGCAUACUCUCAUUCUGUUUAUUUGUUUUUGUUUUUGAGACAGGGUCUCGCCCUGUCACCCAGGCUGGAGUACAGUGGCGCAAUAUGGGCUCACUGCAACCUCCACCUCCUGGGCUCAAGUGAUUCUCCCAUCUCAGACCCUCAAGGAGCUGGGGCUACAGGCACGUGCCACCGUGUCCGGCUAAUUUUUGUAUUUUUUGUAGAGACAGGGUUUCACCAUGUUGCCCAGGCUGGUCUCAAACUCCUGAGCUCAGGUGAUCCGCCUGCCUUGGCCUGCGAUAAAAUUGCACAGAAGUGAAUACACACACGUGAGGAUACGGAAAACCGGGGAAACCUGAGCAAGAGCAGUCAGACCCCGGCUGUGAUGGCGCCCAGUAGUUCUGCGAGAUGUUACCAUUGGGGAAACUGAGUGAAGGCAGGUACCUGGGAUCCCUCUGUUUUCUUUUUUGUUGUUGUUGUUGUUUUGAGAUGAAGUUUCCCUCUUGUUGCCCAGGCUGGUUGAUCCACUUGCCUCGGUCUCCCAAAGUGCUGGGAUUACAGGCGUGAGCCACUGUGCCCAGCUUCUCUGUUUUAUUUCUUCUUCUUCUUCUUUUUUUUUUUUUUUUUUUGGAGACGCUCUGUCCCCCAGGCUGGAGUGCAGUGGCACGAUAUUGGCUCACUGCAAGCUCCGCCUCCUGGGUUCACACCAUUCUCCUGCCUCAGCCACCCGAGUAGCUGGGACUACAGGCGCCUGCCACCACGCCCGUCUAAUUUUUUGUAUUUUUAGUAGAGGCGGGGCUUCACCGUGUUAGCCAGGAUGGUCUCGAUCUCCUGACCUCGUCAUCCGCCCGUCUCGGCCUCCCAUAGUGCUGGGAUUACAGGCGUGAGCCACCACGUCCGGCCUUUGCUCUUAUUUCUUAUAACUGUACAGGAAUCUACAAUGAUUGUAACAAAAAUUUCAAUUAAGGCCACUCUAGGCACAUGGCCUGUGGGGUAGCCCUGCUCAACAAGAAGCUGUCAAAAAAAUGUUUUUUAAUUAAAAAAUUUUUUCAAUUAAAAAGCGUUAUCUUCCUCUGCCCGGAAAGGGUUAAGUGAGUCACUGCAGUUAGCUCCCCUUCCCCCACAACCACCUAGACCAGGCCAGGGACCAGCGGGCAAUUGCCUGGCAGCUGGAGUUUUCCUCCACUGUGGACUGUACUUCUUGCAUCACUCUGAAUGUCUCCAGUCUUUAUUCCAGAAUGUUCUGGUCCUCUCCCACUUUUCCGAGGACAGGAAUUCCCUAGUGGGGCUCCAGUAGAGGCUCUGGAGGAGAACAAGAAAGGCCCUUGUCAUCCAUUGGCCUCAGGCUGGGAAAUCUCGGUUCCAGUCCCAGCCCAGCCUCAAUAUUAGGUUGUCAGUCUGGAGUCUGAGAGCCAUGCCCCCACCCCCUUAGUCCUUCACCUCCAGGAGAGUUGGGGAUACUGGAAAGAAUGUUGAGUGUCAGAGCCCCUCUCAGUGGCUCACGCCUGAAAUCCCAGCCCUUUGGGAGGCUGAGGCAGGUGGAUUGCUUGAGGCCAAGAGUUCAAGACCAGCCUGGCCAACGCGACGAAACCCUGACUCUACUAAAAAUACAAAAAUUAGCUGGGCGUGGUGGCACACACCUGUAAUCCCAGCAGCUCGGGAGGCUGAGGCAGGAGAAUUGUUUGAACCUGAGAGGUGGAGGUUGCAGUGAGCUGAGAUCACAACACUGCACUCAAAAAGUAGUUAAUUAAUAUAGUUUAAUUAAAAAAGAAUAUUGAAUGUCAGGCAAUCUGGGUAGAACCCGUUGUGUUUCUACAGGAUAGAAUCUGCUGUGUUCUCUCGGAACUUCCAGAUCACCUUCACAGUAUGACUCUAGACAAUCCCUGUCCACUCUUCAGUUUUAGAUGCCCCAUUCGAAGAAUGAAAGAAUUGUCCUAGAUGAUCCUUUAGGGUCUUCCAGGCUGAUGACAAGGGGGACCUGGCCUCUCUGCUGCUGGCCAAAGAGGACUUUACUUCCCAUUCCGUGUGGUUGAACAAGAAUUGCUGGGCUCCAGUCCUGCCUUUGGCCCUUCCCUACGUGUGACCUUGGGCCCUCUUUGCCUUUCAGAAUCAAUACAGUGAGAGAGUUAACACAAGCUCAGGUUAGUAAGUCAUUCAACAAACAUUUACUGAGCGCUUAUCAAAUACUGCAUGCUGGAGUGGACACUGGAGAAAAAGGUGAGGAGAAGGCCGGGCGCAGUGGCUCGUGACUAUAAUUCCAGCACUUUGAGGGGCAGAGGCAGGUGGAUUACCUGAGGUCAGGAGUUUGAGACCAGACUGGCCAACAUGGCAAAACCCCGUCUCUACUAAAAAUACAAAUAUUAGCCAGGCAUGGUGGUGCAUAUCUGUAGUCCCAGCUACUCAGGAGGCUGAGCAGGAGAAUCACUUGAACUCGGGAGGUGGAGCGUGCAGUGGGCCGAGAUUGCACCUCUGCACUCCAGCCUGGGCAACAUAGUGAGACUCUGUCUCAAAUAAAUAAAUAAAGUGAGGAGAAAAAAAUACCAUCUCUGUCUUCACAGAACUUAUAGUUUGGGAGGGGAGAAUCCCACAAGUAAAUUAAAAAUCUCAGCUGAGAUGAUGCAAAGAAGCAAAGGCCGGACGUGGUGGCUCACGCCUGUCAUCCCA
rnacentral:lncRNA from 1 species